GACGAACGCUGGCGGCGUGCUUAACACAUGCAAGUCGAACGGUGAAGGGGUCUGCUUUUGUGGGCCCUGGAUGAGUGGCGAACGGGUGAGUAACACGUGAGUAACCUGCCCCCUUCUUCUGGAUAACCGCAUGAAAGUGUGGCUAAUACGGGAUAUUCUGGGUCUGUCGCAUGAUGGGUCUGGGAAAGAUUGCGCCAUUGGGUGUUAUUGGUGGGGGAUGGGCUCGCGGCCUAUCAGCUUGUUGGUGGGGUGAUGGCCUACCAAGGCGGUGACGGGUGGCCGGCCUGGGAGGGUGGCCGGUCACACUGUGACUGAGACCCGGCCCAGACUCCGACGGGAGGCAGCAGUGGGGAAUAUUGCACGAUGGGCGCCAGCCUGAUGCAGCGACGCCGCGUGAGGGAGGGCGGCCUUCGGGUUGUACACCUCUUUCGCCAGUGAAGCAGGCCUGCUCCUUGUGGGUGGGUUGACGGUAGCUGGAUAAGAAGCGCCGGCUAACUACGUG
rnacentral:rRNA from 1 species